rnacentral:rRNA from 1 species
CCUACGGGAGGCAGCAGUAGGGAAUAUUGGACAAUGGGCGGAAGCCUGAUCCAGCCAUGCCGCGUGAGGGAAGAAGGUCCUCUGGAUUGUAAACCUCUUUUGCCGGGGGACAAACCUGCGCUACACGCGCAGUUGAGGGUACCCGGAGAAUAAGCACCGGCUAACUCCGUGCCAGCAGCCGCGGUAAUACGGAGGGUGCAAGCGUUGUCCGGAUUCAUUGGGUUUAAAGGGUGCGUAGGCGGCCCUGUAAGUCAGCGGUGAAAUCCCACGGCUCAACCGUGGAACUGCCGUUGAUACUGCGGGGCUUGAGUUCGCCCGAGGUCGCUGGAAUGCGUGGUGUAGCGGUGAAAUGCAUAGAUAUCACGCAGAACACCGAUUGCGAAGGCAGGUGACUGGGGCGCGACUGACGCUGAGGCACGAAAGUGUGGGGAGCAAACAGG